rnacentral:SRP_RNA from 1 species
GCUCGGGUCCUGUGCAGCAGGCGCACCGAACCUCGUCAGGUCCGGAAGGAAGCAGCGAUAAGGUGCUUCACCUGUGUGCCGCAGUAAACCUGGGCUCU